rnacentral:rRNA from 1 species
GUGGGGAAUCUUGCGCAAUGGGCGAAAGCCUGACGCAGCCAUGCCGCGUGGAUGAUGAAGGUCUUAGGAUUGUAAAAUCCUUUCACCGGUGAAGAUAAUGACUGUAGCCGGAGAAGAAGCCCCGGCUAACUUCGUGCCAGCAGCCGCGGUAAUACGAAGGGGGCUAGCGUUGCUCGGAUUUACUGGGCGUAAAGGGCGCGUAGGCGGACAUUUAAGUCAGGGGUGAAAUCCCGGGGCUCAACCUCGGAACUGCCUUUGAUACUGGGUGUCUUGAGUAUGAGAGAGGUGUGUGGAACUCCGAGUGUAGAGGUGAAAUUCGUAGAUAUUCGGAAGAACACCAGUGGCGAAGGCGACUCACUGGCCCAAUACUGACGCUGAGGCGCGAAAGCGUGGGGAGCAAACAGGAUUAGAUACCCGAGUAGUCC